rnacentral:misc_RNA from 1 species
GUGAAUCAUCAAAUCUUUGAACGCAAAUUGCACUCUCUUCGGAGAGUAUGCCUGUUUGAGGGUCAGCCUAAAAAAAAUCGACAUCGUUGCUGUUUUGCGGUGGCGUUUGUCGGAAAUUGGGUUAUAUUAAAUCUUUGGUUUAAGUGACUUAAAAUUUUCUUUAAGAUUUUAUGAACGUUUUCAAGAUUUAUUUCUUUAUAUGUUUAGGGUAUCGAUUUUAUCGAAGGGGUAGUUAUAUCGGGUUUUGGU